rnacentral:rRNA from 1 species
CCUACGGGAGGCUGCAGUGGGGAAUAUUGCACAAUGGGGGAAACCCUGAUGCAGCGACGCCGCGUGAAGGAUGAAGUCUUUAGGUAUGUAAACUUCUAUCAGCAGGGAAGAAAAUGACGGUACCUGACUAAGACGCCCCGGCUAACUCCGUGCCAGCAGCCGCGGUAAUACGUAGGGGGCAAGCGUUAUCCGGAUUUACUGGGUGUAAAGGGAGCGUAGACGGGAUGGCAAGUCUGAUGUGAAAACCCGGGGCUCAACCCCGGGACUGCAUUGGAAACUGGCGAACUAGAGUGUCGGAGAGGCAAGUGGAAGUCCUAGUGUAGCGGUGAAAUGCGUAGAUAUUAGGAGGAACACCAGUGGCGAAGGCGGCUUGCUGGACGAUGACUGACGUUGAGGCUCGAAGGCGUGGGGAGCAAACAGGAUUAGAUACCCUUGUAGUC